UUUUUUUUUUUUUUUUUUUUUUUUUUUUGUCUUUUUAGGGCUUUACAAAUGGCAUAUGGAAGUUCCCAGGCUAGGGGGUUGAAUCAGAGCUGCAGCUGCCAGCUUACACCACAGCCACAGCAAUGCCAGAUGCAAGCCGCAUUUGCGACCUACACCAACACUUCAUGGCAAUGCCAGAUCCUUAGCCCACUGAGCGAGGCCAGGGAUGGAACCUGCAUCAUCAUAGAUACUAGUCAGAUUUGUUUCCACUGAACCAUGAUGGGGACUCCUAGCAUUUCCUUUGACUUGGUCACUCUUCUUAUUUUUCUUGUUGUUAGACUGAAGUGACAUUUUCUGUGGUAGGUAAUGUCUACUACUACCCAAAAUGAACCUUGUUUCCUGGUAUCCCCUCCACUUUAGUAACUUUCUCCUAACCAAUAAGAUAGUCCAUCUAGAUGGGCUUUCACUUCCAUCAUCAGAUUACAAAGAUUCUGACUUUUAUCCUGCCAGAAAACUCUUACUUUUACUGGCUUUAUCAAAGCCAGUAACUUCCACUUUCAUGUUGGCAAGUUCAUGUGGCAAGUUCCUGAGGCAGACACUGAAAAGCUAUCUACUGAAGUGCUCAGUUCAAUACCUCAAACAUAAUUAAGUCAUGCCAACAACCAUAUAAUUGAGCAAAGCAGAGGAUUCUUCCCCUGUCAAGCUUCCACAUGAGACCUUAGCCUGGGCAGACACCUUGAUUACAGUCUUGUGAGAAACCUCAAAGAAGAAGAUCAAGUGGAACUGAUACAAGACUACAGACAUAGAGAAACUGUGAGAUAAUAAGUAUGUUUUGCUUUAAGCUAUUAAUGGCAGAAAUAAAUACCCAAUACAUCUAAGGGAAGAUUUCACUGACUACCUUAAAGUAGAUCACCCUCCAUCUAAAUCACUCAUUUAUUUUUUUUAAAUUACUCAGUGAAUUUUAUUAUAUUUAUAGUUGUACAAUGAUCAUUACAACCCAAUUUUAUAGCAUUUCAAUCCCAACACAUCCUCCCACCCCCCAACUUGUCUCAUUUGGAAACCAUAAGCUUUUCAAAACUCUUUGAGUCUGUAUCUGUUCUGCAAAGUUCAUUGUGUCCUUCUUUUAGAUUCCACAUGUUAGCGAUAGCAUAGGACGUUGGUGUCUCACUGUCUGACUGACUUCACUUAGCAUGAUAAUUUCUAGGUCCAUCCAUGUUGCUGCAAAUGCCGUUAUUUCUUUCCUUUUAAUAGCUGAGUAAUAUUCCAUUGUAUGUAUGUACCACAUCUUCUUUAUCCACUCCUCUGUUGAUGGACAUUUAUACUAUUUCCAGUUUUUUGUGUUUUUUUGAAAUAUAGCUGUUUUACAGUGUUUCAGGUGUACAACAGAGUGAUUGUUACACAUAUACAUACAUACACACACACACAUAUAUGUUCUUUUUCAGUUUCUUUUCCAUUAUAGUUAUUAUAAGACAUUGAAUAUAGUUUCCCAUGCUAUGCAGUAGGUCCUUGUUUUUUAUCUAUUUUAUAUGUAAUAGUACAUAUCUGUAAAUCCAAAUUCCUAAUUUAUCCCCUGUUCCCCCUUUGGUAAACAUGUUUGUUUUCUAUGUCUGUACAUCUGUUUCUGUUUUGUAAAUAGGUUCAUUUGUAUUAUUUUUUAGAUUCCACAUAUAAAUGAUAUAUUAUGAUAUUUGUCUUUAUCUGUCAGAAUUAUUUCACUUAAUAUGAUGAUCCGUAGGUCCAUCAGUUAUGCUGCAAAGGAAAUUAUUUCAUUCUUUUUUAUGGCUAAUAUUCCACUGUAUAAAUGUACCACAUCUUCUUUAUCCAUUCAUCUGUCGAUGAAUAUUUAUGUUGCUUCCAUGUCUUAGCUAUUAUAAAUAGUCCUGCCAUGAAUUUGGGUGCAUGUUUCUUUUUGAAUUAGAGUUUUCACCUUUUCUAGAUAUAUGCUCACGAGUGGGAUUGUUGGAUCAUAUGAUAACUCUAUUUUUGCUUUUUAAGGACCUCCAUACUGUUCUUCAUAGUGGUUGCACCAAUUUAUAUUACCACCAAGAGUGUAGGAGGGUUCCCUUUCCUCUGCAACCUCUCCAGCAUUUAUUAUUUGUAGAUUUUUUUGGUGAUGGGCAUUCUGAUUGUGUGAAGUGAUAUCUCACUGUAGUUUUUGCAUUUCUCUAAAAAUUAGCAAGGUUGAACAUCUUUUCCUGUGUCCGUUGGCCAUCAAUAUGUCAUCUUUGGAGAAAUCUCUAUUUAGAUCUUCCUCAACCUAUUUUUUAUUGGGUUAUUUUUUACCACUCAUUUAUUUAUUUAUUUAUUUAUUUAUUUAUUGGUUGGUUAUAUCCACAGGAUAUGGAAGCUGGUUCCAGGGCCAGUGAUUGAAUCAGAGCCAUGACAGUGAGAACAUCAUGUAGUCAACUUGUAGGCCACAAGGGAAGUCCCACUCAUUUAGUUUUAAUGUCACCUACUAAAAGCUCAAAUUGAUUUGUCUACUCAUUUCUCUGGAAUUUUUUUGGUCAGGUUCCUCUAUGCAUGUAUGAGGUCUCUGAGUUAGAAGUGAGAUAUGCAUUGCUGGAUUAUGUGUGAUCCAGCUUUCAUCCCCUCCCCACCUGGCCUGGUCCAGGGUGCUUAAGAACACUAUGUGGUCAACAGGGUUAGCAUUCUCAUUUCAAAAUAUUGGAAUUUUUUCAUUUUUCAUCAUAUUUCAAUAUGUACUUGGUUUUCUAGAAUAAACAUUUUUAUUAGCAUCAUGUUCUUAAGGGAGAUAAAUUCAGUUAAAGUUUAAGAUCAGAUUUACUUCGUGAUAUUACCUUUUUGGCUGACUCUAUAAACAAAGUAGCAUAGUUUUAUUUGGUGAUUGUGGUCAACAUAGAUAGUAUAGUCAAUCUGUAUAAUUUAUGCUUUAACAAUUACUUGUUUCUGUGAGUUCCCAUUGUGACUCAGCAGUAACAAACCCAACUAAUAUCUCUGAGGAUGCAGGUUUGAUCCCUGGCCUUGAGCAGUGGGUUAAAGAUCUGGUGUUGAUGUGAGCUGUUGUGUACUUUGGAUAUGUGGCUGGGAUCCCAUGUUGCUGUACCUGUGACGUAGGCUGGCAGCUGUAGCUCUGAUUCAGUUCCUAACUAGGGAACCUCCAUGUGAGGCAGGUGUGGCUCUAAAAAUAAUUGCUUGUUUCUGACUUGCAGAGAAUUAUUUUUUGCUUGGUUAAUCAGGAUAAUUGCUUUACUUCUCCACUUUACUUUGCUUUUGCAGACAUAGUUAAACCCAGAAAGGCUAAAUCCAGCUUGAACACUUCAGGUAGUUCAGAGAGCUUCCAUCUUUUCAUGCUAUUCACAGAAUAUUAAUUCUUCUUUUGGGAAUACUUGCACCUUAAGUGUCUUAAUAGUUCAUGUGAAGCAGCUGUCAACAUUGUCUGAUUCUACAUUUUUUUUUGAUUCCACAUUUUAAAGCACUUUCUAAUUGUCAUAAUGUAGUCAAGUCUUUGCUCACAAUUAUUUUAGAUGAUUAUGUGCAGAUUUAUAGCCCUAUAGCUUAAUGGAAGACAUUGAGUUAUUUAUUUUCCUUUGUUUAUAGUUUUUCCAAAAAGUUGACAUUCCAAAGUAGUCUAAUAACUAACGAUAACUCCCAUGGCCCUCUGUUUGAACUACCUGUUGAUAUACAUAUUUUUCCAAAGGAUAAUCUCAUAUAUAAACAGCUUAAUUAAAAAGAUGAACUUAUUAAAAGCUGGAUAAUAACACACUGAUACCUCAUUGAAAUUGUUACCAUUGUUCACAUUAAUGAUCACAUUUUCUUUUCAUUUAUUCAAUCCUUUGGCAAACUAUGGCAGAUGGAGUGAGCUGAAUAUGGACCCUAAUUUUGCACCAAGAACUGAAAGGUGGAAAAUGUACUCUUUUUUUUUUUUUUUUCCUGGCUGCACCGUGGCAUGUGGAAGUUCCCCAGCCUGGGAUCAAACCCACACCAUAGAAGCAACCCAAGCUGCUGCAGUGACAGUGCUGGAUCCCCAACCCAUUGCACCAUAAGAGAACUCCUAAAAAAGUCAUAUUUAUCAAAAUUGUAGAUAUUAUUUUUCCAGGCCCAAACCAUUUCUUCUAGGCUUCCAUCAUAAGAAUGUAUGAUUGCAUUUGCAUUGUAAUUUUAUAAAACAGUUUCUGUACAACUGUAACUGUAAUGUAUUUUUUUUUUUUUUGUCUUUUUUAGGGCUGCACCUGCAGCAUAUGGAGGUUCCCGGGCUAGGGAUCUAUCCGAGCUGUAGCCGCCAGCCUACACCACAGCCACAGCAACGCCAGAUCCAAGCCUCGUCUGUGACCUACACUACAGCUCAUGGCAACUCUGGAUCCUUAACCCACUGAGCAAGGCCAGGGAUCAAACCCACAACCUCAUGGUUCCUAGUCAGAUUUGUUAACCACUGAGCCAUGAUGGGAACUCCCUUAAUGUAUUUUUAACUGCUUCAAACGCAGUGUUAUUAGUAUUUCAUGUAACUAAAUUAUGUCUGAAUGUCUCCAUUUUCAGAACUCAACAUGUUAAAAGAAAACAGAGAUUAACUUCAAAUAAUUCAUUUAGUCACAUUUUUCUUUUUUGCAUUGUAAUGAGGCAAAUCUAUUCAAAAUUUAGUUGAACAUAUUUAAAGAAAUGUCCAUGAAUUAAUAAAAUUUUGUAUAUAACUUACAGGUCAAAUUAUCAGUUGUAUUAAAAAUAUGAUGUAGUUAACUUCCACUAAUGAGUGAAAAGGAAAUUUGAGACAACUGAAGGAUUCUAUGGCAUAUUCUUCUGUGUGCACUAAAAUCUCUGGUGGAUAUGGCACCAGGAGGCAUAGAGAAGACACAAUUACAGAGGCCUCUCUGAUGACAGAUAGUUGGAAUAGUGACCAAAGCUUUCCUAGGACAUUCAAAAUCUCUGUCACCAACUGAAAAACAAAGCAAAGAAUUGAGGCCUAAAAUUUAGUCAAUUGGAUUAUAUUAAAGUAAAAAAUCAGUCUUGCCUGAUACACUCAUUUAAUUGUUCCUAAGAAUUUUUGAGGGUUUUUUUUGGUAUUUAUUUAUUUUGUUAUCUGGAUCUCAAUACCUCAUUUAUCUUACUUAGUAUAAGACAUAGCCAAACAAUGGACAUGAGAAAUGACUUUCGGGAAGUUCCUGGGGGCAGAGAUUUCAUAAUACUCCCUUGUGGCAAAUGUGGAAACAGAAUAUUUUU
rnacentral:lncRNA from 1 species